rnacentral:misc_RNA from 1 species
GGAAGUGAAAGUCGUAACAAGGUUUCCGUAGGUGAACCUGCGGAGGGAUCAUUAUUGUAUAACCGAGGUGCGAGGGCUGUCGCUGACCCGAAAGGUCGUGCACGCCCGAGUGCCCUCACACACGUCCAUCUCACCCCUAUGUGCACCACCGCGUGGGUCCCCCUUUGGCUUGUUCGGAGGGGGGCUUACGUUUUCACACAAACUUUGUAUGCAGUGUAGAAUGUAUUUUUUGUUUUUGCGAUCACGCGAUCAAUACAACUUUCAACAACGGAUCUCUUGGCUCUC